rnacentral:lncRNA from 1 species
AAGGAGAUUCUGGCUGAUGAACGUGUGCGAGACAACCCACUCCUAUGCCAGUGUGAAAGAGAAUGAGAUGUCCAUCGAAUCUGCUUAGCCGGGGAUUGUGAGCAACCGUUUGUUCAUCGUAGGGACUAGGUAAAACUAGUCGAAUUUUAUCUUUACUUUUCUAUUUAAAUAAAAAGUUUAAUUGUGCACAAACAUACCAUCCUUGAAAAGUUCA